rnacentral:rRNA from 1 species
GAUGAACGCUGGCGGCGUGCCUAAUACAUGCAAGUCGAGCGAACAGACGAGGAGCUUGCUCCUCUGACGUUAGCGGCGGACGGGUGAGUAACACGUGGAUAACCUACCUAUAAGACUGGGAUAACUUCGGGAAACCGGAGCUAAUACCGGAUAAUAUAUUGAACCGCAUGGUUCAAUAGUGAAAGACGGUUUUGCUGUCACUUAUAGAUGGAUCCGCGCCGCAUUAGCUAGUUGGUAAGGUAACGGCUUACCAAGGCAACGAUGCGUAGCCGACCUGAGAGGGUGAUCAGCCACACUGGAACUGAGACACGGUCCAGACUCCUACGGGAGGCAGCAGUAGGGAAUCUUCCGCAAUGGGCGAAAGCCUGACGGAGCAACGCCGCGUGAGUGAUGAAGGUCUUCGGAUCGUAAAACUCUGUUAUUAGGGAAGAACAAAUGUGUAAGUAACUAUGCACGUCUUGACGGUACCUAAUCAGAAAGCCACGGCUGACUACGUG